rnacentral:rRNA from 1 species
ACCAGACUCCUACGGGAGGCAGCAGUGGGGAAUAUUGCACAAUGGGGGAAACCCUGAUGCAGCGACGCCGCGUGAGCGAUGAAGUAUUUCGGUAUGUAAAGCUCUAUCAGCAGGGAAGAAGAUGACGGUACCUGACUAAGAAGCCCCGGCUAACUACGUGCCAGCAGCCGCGGUAAUACGUAGGGGGCAAGCGUUAUCCGGAUUUACUGGGUGUAAAGGGGGCGCAGGCGGCGUGUCAAGUCAGCGGUAAAAUGUCGGGGCUCAACCCCUGCCGGCCGUUGAAGCUGGCGUGCUCGAGUUGGAGAGAAGUAUGCGGAAUUCGUGGUGUAGCGGUGAAAUGCAUAGAUAUCACGAAGAACCCCGAUUGCGAAGGCAGCAUACCGGCUCCACACUGACGCUGAGGCACGAAAGCGUGGGUAUCGAACAGGAUUAGAUACCCUUGUAAU